rnacentral:rRNA from 1 species
CGCCUAGUAGCUAGCCCCUCCAACCAAAAACAACAAACCACUAUUAAUAAACCCCAAUACACUAGAACACAUUAAACAAACCAUUUUUCCCCCUUAGUAUGGGCGACAGAACCG